AUCCACCUGACGAGUCCCAAAUAGGACGAAACGCGCGUCCUGAAU
rnacentral:hammerhead_ribozyme from 1 species